rnacentral:rRNA from 1 species
ACAUCAGGUGGCCGCUGAGGGGGUUGAUUCUGGCUCAGAUUGAACGCUGGCGGGAUGCUUUACGCUGAUCGAACGGCAGCACGGACUUCGGUCUGGUGGCGAGUGGCGAACGGGUGAGUAAUGUAUCGGAACGUGCCUAGUAGCGGGGGAUAACUACGCGAAAAGCAUCGCUAAUACCUUACGCCCUUCGGGGAAAGCGGGGACCUUCCGGGCUACUAUGAAACAGCCGAUAUCAAGUUUAACUAGUUGGUGGGGUAACGGCUCACCAAAGGCGACGAUCCGUAGCUGGUUGAGGACGACCGUACACUGGGACUGGAACCACGGCCCAGACUCCUACGGGAGGCAACGGUGGGGAAUUUUGGACAAUGGAAACCACAGUCCAGCCAUCCCGCGUGUGCGAUGAAAUACUUCAGGUUGUAACACUUUUGGCAGGAAAAAAGCAGCGCAGGAUAAUACCCCGGUACAGCGGGCAUGCAGAAUAAGCACCAGCUAACUGUACAUGCCGUGACCGCGGUAAUACGUAAGUGCAAGCAUUAAUCAAGAUACCUGGAGGCGUAAAGCGUGCACGACAGUUCGGAAGAAGAUGUUGAAAAUCUGGAAGCGCUUUUGGAACUGUUUUUAACACCGGGCUGGGAGUGUGUCAGAGGGAGGUGGAAUUCCUGUGUAGCAGUGAAAUGCGUAGACUAUGCGAACACCGAUGGCGAAGGCAACCUCCUGGGGAUAACACUGACAACUCAUGCACAGCGCGUGAAGACAAGCGGGAUUAGAUACCUGGUAGUCCCACGCCCUAAACGAUGUCAACUGGCUAUUUGGGGCCUUCGGGCCUUGGUAGCAUAAUAACGCGUGAAGUUGACCGCCUGGGGAGUACGGUCGCAAGAUUAAAACUCCGAGAAUUGACGGGGACCGCACAAGCAGUGGAUGAUGUCGGAUUAAUUGGGCCCAACGCGAAAAACCUUACUACCGCCGAGCAUGUGUGAAUCCGAAGAGAGAUUUGCGGAGUGCUCGCAAGAGAACCGUUUGAUUGUACCAUGGCUGUCGUCGCUCGUGUGAGAUGUUGGGUUCGUCCGCAACGAGCGCAACCGCAGCCGUUAGUUGCUACGAAGACGCUCUGUAAGGACUGCCGGUGACAAGCCGGAGGAAGGUGGGGAUGACGUCAAGUCUCGCCAGUAUAUGGUGGGGCUUCACCCCGCCAUAAUGAAUUCGGGACAGAAGGUCGCCAGCCUUGCGAGGGGAGCCAAUCAGGGAAACCCGAUCGUGGUCGGAUCGCAGUCUGCAACUCGACUGCGAUGAAGUCGGAAAUCGCCAAUAAUCGCGGAUCAGCAUGUCGCGGUGAAUACGUUCCCGGGUCUUGUACACACCGCCCGUCACCAUGGGAGUGGGUUUUACCAGAAGUAGUUAUAGCCUAACCAUGGAGGGCGUUACCACGGUAGGAUUCAUGACUGGGGUGAAGUCAUAUGAGUAA